CUGUCUCAUUUACCAUCAUAUGAUUCUUACGGCUUGCGUUCAUACAAAAGAACAUGUGGAAUUCCCAAAUUUGUGGUUCGUGACUGCCCUUGUUUUCUUUUAUAUUUUUCUUUUUUUUCUUGACCUUAGUCGUAUCAUUCAGGGUACCUGCUAUUGAGAGUUCCAGAUUUCCUGCAUGAAUUUAAUUCAAGCUCAUGCAUGGGGAAUGGAAAUUGCGUGUACACAUAUACGCGUGUGUCUAUGGAGCUUACAGGAUGAAACUGCACACACUCUCAGUGUUAAUUAUUAGAGAGUUAUAUAUAUGCUAACCAGCCCAUUCCGCACAAAAUAUCAUGUACUCCCUCCGUUUCAUAAUUCUUGCCGUUGCUUUAGUUCAUGGGACGAGGGAGUAUAUCUUAAUUGCAAUUACACAUAAUGAUGGGAGCAAUCCACUACACAUGUCAACCUUGGCUAGCUCAAGAUUUAAAUGCAAACUUAUUCGUACCAGCACACCCGCUGUAACUCGCGGGCGUUGAUCAGCUAUUGAAAAAAAUGAAUAUUACUCCACCAACUUUCGCUG
rnacentral:lncRNA from 1 species